rnacentral:rRNA from 1 species
UACGAAGGGGGCUAGCGUUGUUCGGAAUUACUGGGCGUAAAGCGCGUGUAGGCGGUUCGAUAAGUCUGCUGUGAAAGUCCAGGGCUCAACCCUGGGAUGCCGGUGGAUACUGUCGGACUAGAGUACGGAAGAGGCGAGUGGAAUUCCCCGGUGUAGCGGUGAAAUGCGCAGAUAUCAGGAGGAACACCGAUAGCGAAGGCAGCUCGCUGGGACGGUACUGACGCUGAGGUGCGAAAGCGUGGGGAGCGAACAGG